CUGACACGAUCAAAGUCAAAGAUUCAAGAAAGAAAGUCUUAAAAGCUGUAAAAACACUGACUAUCUGUGACUCUUUGUUCAUAUUAUAUAUUUGGUGAGACAGGAUCUGCAGAAACAGCAGUUUUUUAUUUCACUUCCUCUUCACUGUGGCGCAGAUGUUUUCUCCGUGUGCAGUUUGCCGAAGCUACAAAGUCUCUGUGACUGGAUGUGAAUUCAGCAGCUGAACAUCUUCCAUGUUGUAGUGAGUGAGUGCAGCUCUCC